rnacentral:rRNA from 1 species
GUGCUUGCAUCAUGAUUUACAUUUGAGUGAGUGGCGAACUGGUGAGUAACACGUGGGAAACCUGCCCAGAAGAGGGGGAUAACACCUGGAAACAGAUGCUAAUACCGCAUAACAACUUGGACUGCAUGGUCCGAGUUUGAAAGAUGGCUUCGGCUAUCACUUUUGGAUGGUCCCGCGGCGUAUUAGCUAGAUGGUGAGGUAACGGCUCACCAUGGCAAUGAUACGUAGCCGACCUGAGAGGGUAAUCGGCCACAUUGGGACUGAGACACGGCCCAAACUCCUACGGGAGGCAGCAGUAGGGAAUCUUCCACAAUGGACGAAAGUCUGAUGGAGCAACGCCGCGUGAGUGAAGAAGGGUUUCGGCUCGUAAAACUCUGUUGUUAAAGAAGAACAUAUCUGAGAGUAACUGUUCAGGUAUUGACGGUAUUUAACCAGAAAGCCACGGCUAACUACGUACCAGCAGCCGCGGUAAUACGUAGGUGGCAAGCGUUGUCCGGAUUUAUUGGGCGUAAAGCGAGCGCAGGCGGUUUUUUAAGUCUGAUGUGAAAGCCUUCGGCUCAACCGAAGAAGUGCAUCGGAAACUGGGAAACUUGAGUGCAGAAGAGGACAGUGGAACUCCAUGUGUAGCGGUGAAAUGCGUAGAUAUAUGGAAGAACACCAGUGGCGAAGGCGGCUGUCUGGUCUGUAACUGACGCUGAGGCUCGAAAGUAUGGGUAGCAAACAGGAUUAGAUACCCUGGUAGUCCAUACCGUAAACGAUGAGUGCUAAGUGUUGGAGGGUUUCCGCCCUUCAGUGCUGCAGCUAACGCAUUAAGCAUUCCGCCUGGGGAGUACGGCCGCAAGGCUGAAACU